UAAUACGUAGGUGGCAAGCGUUGUCCGGAAUUAUUGGGCGUAAAGCGCGCGCAGGCGGUCCUUUAAGUCUGAUGUGAAAGCCCACGGCUCAACCGUGGAGGGUCAUUGGAAACUGGGGGACUUGAGUGCAGAAGAGGAAAGCGGAAUUCCACGUGUAGCGGUGAAAUGCGUAGAGAUGUGGAGGAACACCAGUGGCGAAGGCGGCUUUCUGGUCUGUAACUGACGCUGAGGCGCGAAAGCGUGGGGAGCAAACAGG
rnacentral:rRNA from 1 species